GACGGAGGGGGCAAGCGUUGUCCGGACUCACUGGGCGUAAAGCGCACGUAGGCGGUCGUGUGCGUCGCUGCUGAAAGCGCCAGGCUUAACUUGGCGAGGCGUGGCGAUACGACGCGACUAGAGGCAGGCAGAGGGUGGCGGAAUUCCGGGUGUAGUGGUGAAAUGCGUAGAGAUCCGGAGGAACGCCUGUGGCGCAAGCGGCCACCUGGGCCUGACCUGACGCUGAGGUGCGAAAGCGUGGGGAGCGAACCGG
rnacentral:rRNA from 1 species